UAAGCGUUGCCCCAAUCCGGAUGCGUCCCUUCCGUUGGUGGUGUGUGCCCGGGCUGACUGUCGCGGGCGGACGGGACAGAUCCGGAUUAUGACGACAGGCUGAGUGAGGCGGCACAGAGCGGUGAGGAGGGAAUGAGUGAGUGAGGGAUGGGAAGGAUGGGAGUUGAGCAAGAGAGAGUAAUAACUGGCGUCCGGAGUUCUGUGGUGUGCUGUGUUGAGUGACGGGUGUUGAAAGACAAAGGAAAGGAUAAUAUAAACGUUUCCAGUGAUUGUGUUGAGGGAUGGGUGUUGAAAGACAAAAGAAAGGGUGAUAGAAACGUUUCCAUUGAUCGUGCUGAGGGACGGAUGUUGAGAAAGAAAAACAAAAGGAUAAUAUAAACGUUUCCAGUGAUUGAGUUGAAGGACGGGUGUUGAGAAAGACAAAAGAAAGGAUGAUAUAAACGUUUCCAGUGAUUGUGCUGAGGGACGGAUGUUGAGAAAGACAAACAAAAGGAUAAUAUAAACGUUUCCAGUGAUUGUGUUGAAGGACGGGUGUUGAGAAAGGUGAAAGAAAGGAUAAUAUAAACGUUUCCAGUGAUUGUGUUGAGGGACGGGUGUUGAGAAAGACAAAAGAAAGGAUGAUAUAAACGUUUCCAGUGAUUGUGUUGAGGGACGGGUGUUGAGAAAGACAAAAGAAAGGAUGAUAUAAACGUUUCCAGUGAUUGUGUUGAGGGACGGAUGUUGAGAAAG